rnacentral:lncRNA from 1 species
GCUGGGCGCACCCGUCCCGUUCGUCCCCGGACGUUGCUCUCUACCCCGGGAACGUCGAGACUGGAGCGCCCGAACUGAGCCACCUUCGCGGACCCCGAGAGCGGCGGCGCGACUCACCGCGGAGGCGCCCGGACGCGUCAAGCCCAGCCCAAUAGGAAGCACCUGAUCCACACUCUUUCUAGCCCCAGGGAUGCUCAGGAAAGCAGCCUUUCUUUAGGGCUGUCAUCUGUUCUGGGGAUCUGUUGCUGUUUCUUGGGCCCACAGAAUACACUCCACACCUCGGGACUCCAUAAUAUUGGACAAGGCUGGAAGGCCCAUUUGGCUCCUGCAGCCUCUUAUGCAGGAGGACCUCCUGAGGCUUCGGGCAGGAGCUGGUGCACACCUGGAGGAGAGUGCUGGUGAAUGGCAGGUGUGUGCCUCAGUGUCCUUGCUGCCAGGGUGUCAGCCCUGCUUCACCACUGGCCGUUUGUCUCUGUCCCCUCCACUGGCCUCUUGAAGCACAGAGACCCUCCGGGUACUUUCCUUCCUCUGGGCUUCCACUCAUGCUAUUCCCUGCUCCCUUUUUCUACCUGGAGACCCCCAUUCCUCCUCCUCCUCUGCUGCCCUCACCUCCACCUGGGCCCUCCCAGCUCCCGGGAGAUGGCUGAACCCCACUCCCCACCCGCUAGUCAUCCUCUUCAGCGGUCCUCCCAGAGCUGUCCUCAGCAUGGCAGCCUCCACAGCCCCUGGGUGUCACCCCCGGUUUCGUGUCUGCCUCGGACUCCAGACCUGCCCCUCCCAGGCUGGCCCAGAUGGAUCCUCUACAGUGACUAACCCAAACCAGCACCAGGCAGGGACCCAAUAAACCUUUGUGAA